AAUAUAUUACAUAGAGAUCAAAAGUACUUACCCACAUUGUGGGUAAGUACUUUGUGGGUAAGACACUCCAAAAAAAUCGCCACUGGCUAUGGACCAUAUGAUCCUGCAAUCGUUGGGGGAUACGGGACCAGAUUUUAAGAUCAGGUGAACAGGAGAACCCCCAGCGGAGGAGAAUGAAGAGAAAAGCCAGGAAGGGAUGAGUGCCCAAUUCCAGCAGCCUGAGUAGGCAGAAAAGAGUCUCACACCACCUCACCUUUUUAAUCCUUUAAUUUCACCUUUACUCCCUGUAUCCAUCACACACCUAACUCGGUUCACACACCUAACACCUUUUGUCACCAUGUAUCCUGACCCCCUCCCUUGUUUUCCCCAUUAUUUAAUGUAGAUACCCUCUCCAUUGCCAUUUCAUUUUUCCCUUAAUCUCCUCCCCUUUUUGUUUUCUUAAUACCUCCCCUCAUUUUAAGUGUAGAUAAAGUCUUCCCAAAAUAUGUCAAGUUAGAUUUCUGUUGGUCUUCCUAGCUGU